CCAAUAGCGUAUAUUAAAGUUGUUGCAGUUAAAAAGCUCGUAGUUGAACUUCGGGGUCUACCCAUUGGUCAGGCUUAAUUGUCUGUACUGGUGAGAUGGAUCUCUACCUUCUGAGGAACUUUCAUGCCAUUUAUUUGGUGUGGUUGGAAAUCAGGACUGUUACUUUGAAAAAAUUAGAGUGUUUAAAGCAGACUAUCGUCUGAAUACAUUAGCAUGGAAUAAUGAAAUAGGACGGACUGAUUCUAUUUCGUUGGUUUCUAGGAUCACCGUAAUGAUUAAUAGGGAUAGUUGGGGCAUUAGUAUUCAAUUGUCAGAGGUGAAAUUCUUGGAUUUAUUGAAGACUAACUACUGCGAAAGCAUUUGCCAAGGAUGUUUUCAUUAAUCAAGAACGAAAGUUAGGGGAUCGAAGACGAUCAGAUACCGUCGUAGUCUUAACCAUAAACUAUGCCGACUAGGGAUCGGACGAAGUUAAUUUUAUAAUGACGCGUUCGGCACCUUACG
rnacentral:misc_RNA from 1 species